AUUGAACGCUGGCGGCAGGCCUAACACAUGCAAGUCGAACGAGUGGGGGACGGGAGAGUAGUGUCUGGGAAACUGCCCGGGGGAGGGGGAAAUCUACUGGACGCGGGCGCUUAUACCGCAUUCCCUCGGAUGUGCCGAUAUGGGAUUAGAUAGUAGGUGGGGUAAAGGCUCACCUAGGCGACGAUCCCUAGCUGGUCUGAGAGGAUGCCCAGCCACACUGGAACUGAGACACGGUCCAGACUCCUACGGGAGGCAGCAGUGGGGAAUAUUGCACAAUGGGCGCAAGCCUGAUGCAGCCAUGCCGCGUGUGUGAAGAAGGCCUUCGGGUUGUAAAGUACUUUCAGCGGGGAGGCGUUACCCGCAGAAGAAGCACCGGCUAACUCCGUGCCAGCAGCCGCGGUAAUUC
rnacentral:rRNA from 1 species